UACGUAGGGGGCAAGCGUUGUCCGGAUUUAUUGGGCGUAAAGAGCGUGUAGGCGGUCAGGUAGGUCCGUUGUGAAAACUCGAGGCUCAACCUCGAGACGCCGAUGGAAACCAUCUGACUAGAGUCCGGAAGAGGAGAGUGGAAUUCCUGGUGUAGCGGUGAAAUGCGCAGAUAUCAGGAAGAACACCCGUGGCUAAGGCGGCUCUCUAGUACGGUACUGACGCUGAGACGCGAAAGCGUGGGGGGCGAACAGG
rnacentral:rRNA from 1 species